rnacentral:misc_RNA from 1 species
UCAAACUUGGUCAUUUAGAGGAAGUAAAAGUCGUAACAAGGUCUCCGUUGGUGAACCAGCGGAGGGAUCAUUAAUGAGUUAUACAACUCCAAACCCUAUGUGAACUUACCGUCGUUUCCUCGGCGUGUGCUGCGGUUACCCUGUAGCUACCCUGCAGCGCGCUACCCUGUAGCAGCAGCUCCCAGGUUAGCUACCCUGUAGCCGUCCCAAGGCCCGCCGCAGGACUGCCAAACUCUUGUUUUACCACUGUAUAUCUGAACGCUUAACUGAAAUAAGUUAAAACUUUCAACAACGGAUCUCUUGGUUCUGGCAUCGAUGAAGAACGCAGC